GACAGAGGUGCCAAGCGUUAGGCGGAACCACUGGGCGUAAAGGGUGCGUAGGCGGGCCUUUAAGUCAGGGGUGAAAUCCUGGAGCUCAACUCCAGAACUGCCUUUGAUACUGAGGAUCUUGAGUUCGGGAGAGGUGAGUGGAACUGCGAGUGUAGAGGUGAAAUUCGUAGAUAUUCGCAAGAACACCAGUGGCGAAGGCGGCUCACUGGCCCGAUACUGACGCUGAGGCACGAAAGCGUGGGGAGCAAACAGG
rnacentral:rRNA from 1 species